GUGGGGAAUUUUGGACAAUGGGCGCAAGCCUGAUCCAGCAAUGCCGCGUGCAGGAAGAAGGCCUUCGGGUUGUAAACUGCUUUUGUACGGAACGAAACGGUCCGGGUUAAUACCCUGGGCUAAUGACGGUACCGUAAGAAUAAGCACCGGCUAACUACGUGCCAGCAGCCGCGGUAAUACGUAGGGUGCAAGCGUUAAUCGGAAUUACUGGGCGUAAAGCGUGCGCAGGCGGUUUUGUAAGACAGGCGUGAAAUCCCCGGGCUCAACCUGGGAAUUGCGCUUGUGACUGCAGUGCUGGAGUGCGGCAGAGGGGGAUGGAAUUCCGCGUGUAGCAGUGAAAUGCGUAGAUAUGCGGAGGAACACCGAUGGCGAAGGCAAUCCCCUGGGCCUGCACUGACGCUCAUGCACGAAAGCGUGGGGAGCAAACAGGAUUAGAUACCCUUGUAGUCC
rnacentral:rRNA from 1 species